AUCCGGUAGAAUGUACAGAAGGACAUGAUGUUGAGCAGGAAACAAACGUACCAAUAACCCUGACGAAAGACAAGUUACGAGCACCAAUCCAAUGCACAGAGGGAACAUCCACAGGAAAGGAAUUUCAGGGCAAAGUCUCCGUACAGGUAUCUGUGGUUGCCGGAGACAAGGAGCUGGAGGUGAAGACCAAGGUCCGCUUUCCUGGAAUGAAGAAUGGUGUGGAAAGAAUGGGAAACGAUGCGAUUUGAAUUAAGGCAACCGUUGCGCAUAUUGUCACAGCGUCUCGAGCUCAAGAAAGACCUUUUUCGACGAGAA